rnacentral:rRNA from 1 species
UACGUAGGGGGCUAGCGUUGUCCGGAAUCAUUGGGCGUAAAGAGCGUGUAGGCGGCCCGGUAAGUCCGCUGUGAAAGUCGGGGCUCAACCCUCGAAUGCCGGUGGAUACUGUCGGGCUAGAGUGCGGAAGAGGCGAGUGGAAUUCCUGGUGUAGCGGUGAAGUGACGCAGAUAUCAGGAGGAACACCAUUGCGAGGCAGCUCGCUGGGACGUACUGACGCUGGAGACGCGAAAGCGUGGGGGGAGC